UACAGAGGUCUCAAGCGUUGUUCGGAUUCAUUGGACGUAAAGGGUGCGUAGGUGGUGCCGUAAGUCGGAUGUGAAAUCUCGGGGCUCAACCCCGAAACUGCAUUCGAUACUGCGGUGCUCGAGGACUGGAGAGGAGACUGGAAUUCACGGUGUAGCAGUGAAAUGCGUAGAUAUCGUGAGGAAGACCAGUGGCGAAAGCGGGUCUCUGGACAGUUCCUGACACUGAUGCACGAAGGCCAGGGGAGCAAACGGG
rnacentral:rRNA from 1 species